UCCUGUAAGUUCUGAUGAAAUGCAUCUUGAUGUCGCAAAUGAAGAAGCCGAAAAUGCAUAUGUAUUGGUCAAAAAGAUAUGCAAUAAGUACUCCAAUUUUUGCCAGCACUAUGCCACGCGGAUAAAAUCCAGGGAAGUGAUAUACCUGCUACUGAGAGUGUAGUCAUGGAAGUGGCACAGCCUAUUCUAAAGAAAGGUUACACGUUGUAUAUGGAUAAUUUUUAUUCAUCACCACCUUUAUUUCUGACGUUACUAAAAAAUGAUACGAAUGCUGUUGGAACUGUUGGGAAAAACAGGAAGAAUAUGCCAAAGGUGUUUUCUUCAAUGAAGUUGAAAAAAGGAGAAGUCAAAACUUUAUCCAGUCACGGUUUAUUGGCUUUGAAAUGGAGAGAUAAAAAAGACGUUCACAUACUUAGCACGAAACAUUCAAAUGCUGAUUUGAUAAACACAGGCAAAAGGAGAAAAAAUGAAGGUGGCGAUAGCGAAAAUAUUAUAAAACCGGCAUUUGUGCUUGAGUAUAAUAAAGGUAUGGGAGGCGUUGAUAAACAAGA